AACGAACGCUGGCGGCAUGCCUAACACAUGCAAGUCGAACGAGACCUUCGGGUCUAGUGGCGCACGGGUGCGUAACGCGUGGGAACCUGCCCUUAGGUUCGGAAUAACUCCCCGAAAGGGGUGCUAAUACCGGAUAAUGUCUUCGGACCAAAGAUUUAUCGCCUUUGGAUGGGCCCGCGUUGGAUUAGCUAGUUGGUAGGGUAAAAGCCUACCAAGGCGACGAUCCAUAGCUGGUCUGAGAGGAUGAUCAGCCACACUGGGACUGAGACACGGCCCAGACUCCUACGGGGGGAAGCAGGGGGGAAUAUUGGAAAAUGGGCGAAAGCCUGACCCAGCAAUGCCGGGUGAGUGAUGAAGGCCUUAGGUUUUAAAAGCUUUUUUACCCGGGAUGAUAAUGACAGUACCGGGAGAAUAAGCCCCGGCUAACCCCGU
rnacentral:rRNA from 1 species